GCUCUGGCUCUGCUCUGACACAGCUUCAUCAUGGCAGUACCUCCCAGCACUGUUCCCAGCCCAACACAAAUGUUCCUGGCACAACUGGCAUACUGCUUGCUGUUUACUACAUGGAUGCGGGCUGAGGAGACAAGACUCCCUAGCUCAGGCUCGGGCCAGAGAACUCACCCACUUACGGCGCAAGAUACAGGAAGGGAGAGAGGUCUGCUCCUUCUUUGCCCAGCACCUGAAGGACAUGGGCCAGGCUUUUGAGGGCCUCCUCAGGAACACGGAUGUUGCCCGCCAUCUGGGACAGAGAUUCCCUGAGCAGUAGCUGGCAGAGAGCCUUGCCAGAAAGCUCACGGCGGAACAAUCCCAAACACGAGGGCUCUGACGCCGGGGCGUUCCUCGACUCCACAUCUAACCCGCCAGGAGCGCGUGUGUUCCUGUGGCUCCAAGACCGGCCUUGCUGUCACCCGCUCCUUCCUCCUGGUGACGGAGUUCAAGUAAGCGGCGCGGACCAAGGCGAGCAGACACAUGUCCCUCGCGUCCCCCGGGAGUGGCACUGGGCUGUCCUUGCGCGCCUCCGUCGGCUCUGUCCUCCGCUUCAGCCUCUGCCUGGCCUGCCCAGGGCCCAGGGACCGUGGCGGGGCCCUGGCUGCGCGGCUCUUGUGGGAGGGGCUGGCACCCGGCAGCUCCCGGGGCGGCCCGCGGAGGAGCUCCAGCGGCUCCUUCGGGGAUGCGCGGGGGCGUUGCGAGGCGCAGGCAUGCGGGGCCGCAGGGAGUGCGGGUUCCCCAGAGGCUGGCGCCCGUGCUGCUCCCGCAGGAGAGCGGACACUGCCCUCUCUCGUCCAGCAGGACCCUAAUGUGUUCGUGGAAACGCGCGGGGUUGUUAUCCGGUUUUGGUGGGGGAAGUGACCUAUGGCGGCGGGAAGGGGACCAGAAAGGCACCACAUUGUCUCAUGAAGAUACCAGGGCACAGGCUUCUUCUGCAUGGCUUUUGGGGAAAUAUUUUGGCAUACAGUUCUGUGAUUGGUUUCUGUAGUGUAGUGGUUAUCACGUUCGCAUCACACGCGAAAGAUCCCUGGUUCGAAACCGGGCGGAAACAAAAUUCUUUUUCUGAAGCCAGGAGAAUAAGAGCAGAGUGAGGAUAAGUGGCCGUGUCCACGUGUCCACGCAGCUCACAUCAACCAGACCUCGUUUCUCUUCUCCCGUGCUGGCCAUUGUCACCCCGCUCUUGCCAGAUUUACAAGAGGGAAAUGCUUUCAGGUUUUCUUUCCUCUCUUUCUUUCUCUCUCUCUCUCUCUUUCUCUUCUUUUCUUUUAAAUAUUUAUUUAUUUGAAAUACAGAGUUAGAGAAAGAUGGAGACACAGAGAGAAGUCUUCCUUCUGCUGGUUCACUCCCCAAAUGGCCUCAACAGCUGAAGCUGAGACAAUCCACAGCCAGGUGCCAGGACCCUUUUCCAAAUCUCCAGGUGAAGGAAGGGGCCCAAGGACUUGGCCAUCCUCCACUGCUAUCCAGGGAAGCAGCCGGGACACGAACCGGAGCCUAUGGGGAAGCCAGCGCCGCAGACCACAGUGUAGGCCCCUCAGGUUUCUUACAGUGAAUCUUCUCCACAGGCCUCAGUCCUCUGCCUAAGCUGACACGGAACCAGUGCUUUCUGGUUUGUGAGCUCCAGAGGGGAGCUGAGGAGAGGCCUGCUUGGCUUCCCACCCUAUGGGAACACAGCUGCAGAACCCACUGAUUGGUGGAGAGAAACUUAAUUUAAAUCUGCAUCUGGAUCUCAAACCAAGCUGAUACUGUCAAUAUUCCUCAGGCACCCCGGUUGAAAGUAUAUAUUUACAUUAACCCACCCCCACCCAAGAGAAUUCUCAGGACACUGUGAGGGUUGCAUGCCCCCUCUGAAGGUUCAGGCAGCCGACAGUUUUAAUAACUGGAAAUCCAGCAUGUUCUGAGUGGGUCCUGAUGGCUCCCAACCCCUUGCCCACCCUCUCUUCUGCUUUGUCCCUGGCGUUCUUGGUGCUGUCUUCACUGGUGUGGAGCCACCACAGCCAGAGCUUUGCCUUUUCUCCCAGGAGAGCUUUAGAGCCCUGGUCUUAGAUGGUGCUGCUUGGAAGGGCUUGGGUGGCCAGUGGAGGAUGGCCCAAGUGAUUGGCCCCUGCACCCAUGUAGGAGACCCGGAAGAAGUUCCUGGCUUCAGCCUGGCACAGCCCCAGCUCUUGAGGUCAUUUAGGGGAUAAAUCAGCAGAUGGAAGAUUUUUCUCUCUCUUCCUCUCUCUGUCCCUGUAACUCUGCCUUUCAAAUAAAUAAGUAAAUCUUUAAAAAAAAUAAAAGCUC
rnacentral:tRNA from 1 species